rnacentral:rRNA from 1 species
AGACCCGAAACCCGGUGAUCUAGCCAUGGGCAGGUUGAAGGUUGGGUAACACUAACUGGAGGACCGAACCGACUAAUGUUGAAAAAUUAGCGGAUGACCUGUGGCUGGGGGUGAAAGGCCAAUCAAACCGGGAGAUAGCUGGUUCUCCCCGAAAGCUAUUUAGGUAGCGCCUCGUGAAUUCAUCUCCGGGGGUAGAGCACUGUUUCGGCUAGGGGGCCAUCCCGGCUUACCAACCCGAUGCAAACUGCGAAUACCGGAGAAUGUUAUCACGGGAGACACACGGCGGGUGCUAACGUCCGUCGUGAAGAGGGAAACAACCCAGACCGCCAGCUAAGGUCCCAAAGUCAUGGUUAAGUGGGAAACGAUGUGGGAAGGCCCAGACAGCCAGGAUGUUGGCUUAGAAGCAGCCAUCAUUUAAAGAAAGCGUAAUAGCUCACUGGUCGAGUCGGCCUGCGCGGAAGAUGUAACGGGGCUAAACCAUGCACCGAAGCUGCGGCAGCGACACUGUGUGUUGUUGGGUAGGGGAGCGUUCUGUAAGCCUGUGAAGGUGUGUCGUGAGGCAUGCUGGAGGUAUCAGAAGUGCGAAUGCUGACAUAAGUAACGAUAAAGCGGGUGAAAAGCCCGCUCGCCGGAAGACCAAGGGUUCCUGUCCAACGUUAAUCGGGGCAGGGUGAGUCGACCCCUAAGGCGAGGCCGAAAGGCGUAGUCGAUGGGAAACGGGUUAAUAUUCCCGUACUUGGUGUUACUGCGAAGGGGGGACGGAGAAGGCUAUGUUGGCCGGGCGACGGUUGUCCCGGUUUAAGCGUGUAGGUGUGUGUUCCAGGUAAAUCCGGUUCACUUUAACACUGAGGCGUGACGACGAGGCACUACGGUGCUGAAGCAACAAAUGCCCUGCUUCCAGGAAAAGCCUCUAAGCAUCAGGUAACAUCAAAUCGUACCCCAAACCGACACAGGUGGUCAGGUAGAGAAUACCAAGGCGCUUGAGAGAACUCGGGUGAAGGAACUAGGCAAAAUGGUGCCGUAACUUCGGGAGAAGGCACGCUGACACGUAGGUGAAGUGAUUUACUCAUGGAGCUGAAGUCAGUCGAAGAUACCAGCUGGCUGCAACUGUUUAUUAAAAACACAGCACUGUGCAAACACGAAAGUGGACGUAUACGGUGUGACGCCUGCCCGGUGCCGGAAGGUUAAUUGAUGGGGUCAGCGCAAGCGAAGCUCCUGAUCGAAGCCCCGGUAAACGGCGGCCGUAACUAUAACGGUCCUAAGGUAGCGAAAUUCCUUGUCGGGUAAGUUCCGACCUGCACGAAUGGCGUAAUGAUGGCCAGGCUGUCUCCACCCGAGACUCAGUGAAAUUGAACUCGCUGUGAAGAUGCAGUGUACCCGCGGCAAGACGGAAAGACCCCGUGAACCUUUACUAUAGCUUGACACUGAACAUUGAGCCUUGAUGUGUAGGAUAGGUGGGAGGCUUUGAAGUGUGGACGCCAGUCUGCAUGGAGCCGACCUUGAAAUACCACCCUUUAAUGUUUGAUGUUCUAACGUGGACCCGUUACCCGGGUUGCGGACAGUGUCUGGUGGGUAGUUUGACUGGGGCGGUCUCCUCCUAAAGAGUAACGGAGGAGCACGAAGGUUGGCUAAUCCUGGUCGGACAUCAGGAGGUUAGUGCAAUGGCAUAAGCCAGCUUGACUGCGAGCGUGACGGCGCGAGCAGGUGCGAAAGCAGGUCAUAGUGAUCCGGUGGUUCUGAAUGGAAGGGCCAUCGCUCAACGGAUAAAAGGUACUCCGGGGAUAACAGGCUGAUACCGCCCAAGAGUUCAUAUCGACGGCGGUGUUUGGCACCUCGAUGUCGGCUCAUCACAUCCUGGGGCUGAAGUAGGUCCCAAGGGUAUGGCUGUUCGCCAUUUAAAGUGGUACGCGAGCUGGGUUUAGAACGUCGUGAGACAGUUCGGUCCCUAUCUGCCGUGGGCGCUGGAGAACUGAGGGGGGCUGCUCCUAGUACGAGAGGACCGGAGUGGACGCAUCACUGGUGUUCGGGUUGUCAUGCCAAUGGCACUGCCCGGUAGCUAAAUGCGGAAGAGAUAAGUGCUGAAAGCAUCUAAGCACGAAACUUGCCCCGAGAUGAGUUCUCCC